rnacentral:rRNA from 1 species
GUGGGGAAUAUUGCACAAUGGGCGCAAGCCUGAUGCAGCAACGCCGCGUGAGGGAUGACGGCCUUCGGGUUGUAAACCUCUUUUAGUAGGGAAGAAGCGUAAGUGACGGUACCUGCAGAAAAAGCACCGGCUAACUACGUGCCAGCAGCCGCGGUAAUACGUAGGGUGCAAGCGUUGUCCGGAAUUAUUGGGCGUAAAGAGCUCGUAGGCGGCUUGUCGCGUCUGCCGUGAAAACCCAGGGCUCAACUCUGGGCGUGCGGUGGGUACGGGCAGGCUAGAGUGCGGUAGGGGAGAUUGGAAUUCCUGGUGUAGCGGUGGAAUGCGCAGAUAUCAGGAGGAACACCGAUGGCGAAGGCAGAUCUCUGGGCCGUAACUGACGCUGAGGAGCGAAAGCAUGGGGAGCGAACAGGAUUAGAUACCCGUGUAGUCC